rnacentral:rRNA from 1 species
GACGAACGCUGGCGGCGUGCUUAACACAUGCAAGUCGAACGAGUGGCGAACGGGUGAGUAAUACGUGGGUAACCUGCCCUCUUUUUGGGAUAAGCCUUGGAAACGGGGUCUAAUACCGAAUAAAGGGGGAUGGGCUCGCGGCCUAUCAGUUUGUUGGUGGGGUGCUGGGCUACCAAGGCGGUGGCGUGUAGCCGGCCUGGGCGGGUGAACGGCCACAAUGGGAGUUGGAAACGGCCCAGACUCCUACGGGAGUCAGCAGUGGGGGAUAUUGCACAAUGGGCGGAAGCCUGAUGCAAGUACGCCGCGUGGGGGAUGAAGGCCUUCGGGUUGUAAAGCUCUGUUAAUCGGGACGCGGUACCGGAAUAGAAAGCCACGGCUAACUACGUGCCAGCAGCCGCGGUAAUUC